AUGCCAUCGACGUAAAAGCAGUGGAGGAGGAGGGAGAGGAAGCAAGAAGAGAAUGGCGAGGAGGAGGAAGAAGAAGCGAGAAGAGGAAUAAUAAUGGUAUUUUAGUUAAUUAAAUAAAAAUCUAGAUCUAAUAUGCAAAAUUUUAAAAAAUAAUUUAGUUUUACAAAAAUGUAAAACUCGUGAAUUUUACUUGCAAAUUGGCCCCAAUUGUUUUUUUUUUCUUACCAAUUUAGCCUUUGCUUAUUUUACCAGUUACUUUACUUUACUAAACCUCUUGAGACUACCGUUUGGCCUAGAUUCUAAAAAAUAUAAUUUCUCCAAAAUUAAAUUCGGUUUGAAAAAUUAAUUUUGGUUAAAAGUCGUAGAGUGUUUGAUUGAGUUUAGAUAAAAAAAAUAUUUUUUCCGAAUAAUUUUGUAAAGCUGUUUGG
rnacentral:lncRNA from 1 species